rnacentral:rRNA from 1 species
CGCAUCUGUGCAUGCAGCAUAUCAAUAAGGGAGGAAAAGAAACUAACAAGGAUUCCCCUAGUAACGGCGAGUGAAGCGGGAAGAGCUCAAAUUUGAAAUCUUAAAGGGUUUCCCUUUACGAAUUGUAGUUUAAAGAAGUGUUUUCUGUUGAGGUUUUGGUAAAAGUUCUUUGGAAUAGGACAUCAUAGAGGGUGAGAAUCCCGUAUUUGACCUUUACUUUCAACUUUGUGAUACACUUUCAAAGAGUCGGAUUGUUUGGGAAUGCAGUCCAAAAUGGGUGGUAAAUUUCAUCUAAAGCUAAAUAUUGGCGAGGAGACUGAUAGCGAACAAGUACCGUGAGGGAAAGAUGAAAAGAACUUUGAAAAGAGAGUUAAACAGUACGUGAAAUUGUCAAAAGGGAAGCGUUUGACACCAGUGUUGUUUUUCUGAAAAUCAAUUAAAGAAGCUGUUUAUGCUAAGUUGUUUAGACUUUAUCAGCUAACUGUUUAGUUUUGAGCUUUUCUUUAAUGCACUUUUCAGUUAACAAGUCAACAUCAAUUUCUUUUGCUGUAAAAAAGCUUGAGGAAGGUGGCUUGAGAUUCGUCUUAAGUGUUUAUAGCCUCUUGCCUAUGCAGUCGGAGAGAUUGAGGUCUGCAGCGUAGAUCCUUCGGGGCUAAAUGCAUUUGUGCUAAGUUAUAGCAUUUCAUAGACAACUUGUUGACUAUGAUUUGUCUUGUAGCUUACUCGCUUAUGUUAUUUUACCUACGCUUAGGAUGUUGACAGCAGUAUAGACUGU